CAAACAGUAAAGCAAGAUUAAGCCAUUAAACUUUGGAAGUAUAUAUCAAUAUCAUUUUUCUAUUUUUUUUUUCUAAUAAUUUCCAUAAAAUUUUGUCGAAAAAAAAAGAAAAAAAUAACAAAUAAUAGUAAAGAUUA
rnacentral:ribozyme from 1 species